rnacentral:sRNA from 1 species
CAGAAUACUCUGGCCAGCAGUGUUGGACAGUCAGACAUUUGCCUUAAUCAUUCCAUUGUUUUUGAAAGUCUUCAGCAGGAGCUUGAAGAUGAAAAAGAUUUGCGCCAGGCUGUUGAGAGAGAGGGUUUGACAUCACUUAAAGUGGAAAGAACAAUAUGGCUCGAAAAGCUGAAAAAUGUUGCGCUGAAUAAUAUUAAGAAUCUUGAGGAGUUAGUUAUAAGGUACUUA